rnacentral:rRNA from 1 species
UGCUAAUACGGGAUAAUAUAUUUGAGAGGCAUCUCUUGAAUAUCAAAGGUGAGCCAGUACAGGAUGGACCCGCGUCUGAUUAGCUAGUUGGUAAGGUAACGGCUUACCAAGGCGACGAUCAGUAGCCGACCUGAGAGGGUGAUCGGCCACAUUGGAACUGAGACACGGUCCAAACUCCUACGGGAGGCAGCAUGC